UAUGGCUCAGCUCCAUGACACCCCUGUGACUGUGUGGGCAGCUUGCCCUCUCUUAGGGGUCAAGGCAGUCUUGUGUGUGGGGGCCGGGCUCCCUGAUUUUGGAACAGUCCUUCCUCUCGGGGCCACAGUUCAGCUUGAGCAGGGUGGUGAGGAAAGUCAUGCUGGGCACCAGUGCACCAUGGGAAAUUCUUCUGCGGUCCUGCUGACAAUGCUCUCUCAUCCUCUGCCCAUCCAGCGGGGGCACCCGAUUGACUGACAAAGGCAUACAACAGUUGGCAGAUGGACCCCUGGCGCAUGGAAUUCUGUGACGUUCAUGAAACCAAGUGGACAGUAAAACGUGCUUUGCUAGUGACUUACAGUGACAGAGAAGGUCAAUGACAGAGAAGCCGAGAAACGGCUUGAGACUCCAGCCUGCGACAGCCCGUGCCAGCCAAAGUUUUGAAUGGCUUUUGAGGAGAAAUGAGGCUGGGAGGAGCCUGAGGAACCAGAAGCACGUGCUGGGUUUUACUUUGUCUCCCUUUUGAUCUACGAAUUGGUUCUGCAAAAAAGGUUUAAUCAGACCAGCUGUAAAGCAUUCUUCAGACGAAUGAAAACCCACGGAAACGAGCUGUGAGGUUCCUGUUCCCCCAACCCCUCAUCUUUCUGGGGAUUAGCAAUGUAGUCCACGUAAGAUUCUCCCUCUCUUUAGCCUCAGGCCACUGAUUUAUUCAGACUCGGAGAACUAUGUAUCCUCUCGGAACACACACAAGUUGGUUCUGUAACUGUGCCGUGAGCUUAUCAUGUUUUAUGUUUCUUGAGGGAAGGAUCACAUCUAAUUUAAGAUUUAUAACUCCGAUAGCAUGAGCAUUUAUUCAAUCACUUAUCUACUUAUUCAAAGAAACAUUUAUUGGAUUUACAAAGCUUGACUUAAAAUCUACUUGGUAGAAGGCCUUGGGGAAGAUUUCUGAAGAGAUUCAGAAAUGGUGAAAUCAGCUCCCUAAGUUAAAGGGAUUAAAAUUCAGUUAAAGGGAUUAAACACUCAACUUCCCCUCGACUGAGAGAAAAGGAAAUCAGAGCUGCACAAAUCUUUCAUUGAGUAGACCAGAAACCCCACCAGAGCAGUAACCGGAAGUGUUGGCAGGGCCCGGAGAAGCAGGCAGGUCCAGCUGUGGUGGUGGGAAAGCACAGUUCCCCAGAGGGGGCAACGCAGAAACCUCUCUAAAAAUUGUUACUGCAUGUGGACUGUGUGCCGUCAAAUUUGUUCUGGGUAGAGGCUGCACACUUAUGAAAUAAUACAGAGACAAGUGUUUUAUUUUUACAGCACCAUCUAUCAUGGCAAAAGAUUGCUAAAGACAUCCUUUGAUAAGGAGCUGGCUCUCCAUGUAAUGAAAUACGUGGCAGUUGACAAAAAAUGCGGCAAGAAUCUGUCAGAUCUAAUUUUAAGUGAGAAAACGAAGUCCAAAGAAACUUUGCGUAGCAUGCUUUUUUGUUAAAAAAGAAAGGAAAAGAAAAAAGCAGGAAGAUAAGAAUAUACAUUUGUAUUUGCGUGGGUCUGUGUAAAGAACUCCAGGAGUACACGCCAGGAAACGAUGCAAAUGUUUCAUAGAGUCACGGGGACACAGCUUCGGGUGGGACCGGGCAUCUCCCCUCAUGCUGUUUUGAUUUAGGAGCCAUGUGGGUGCAUUACCUCUUUCACAUAGAAAAUAAACAGGUUUUAAAGUGUUUGUAGGGAAGGUACACACAUGAGCCAAUAGUGUGCACAAAACACACUGGCGUCUUAUUUUCUAAUUAAAUUUAAAACUCCCAGAGGAAUGAACUGUAUGAAAGCAUUUUGAACUCAUCUUGCAGACAGUUUGUCCUUCUCCAGUUUCUCCUAUAAACCCUUUCUGGAUUAAUCCUCCCAAAUCCCCCUCUAAACAGACUGCCAGAAGGGCUCCCUUAUGGCAUUCACAUCAAAUCCAAAUGUCUCUAUUUGGCUUUUAGGUUCUGCACAAACCCAGCAAUUUAAUGUCCAUCACGGAGGACCUCAACAGGCAUCGUCUGCUCCCGGAGGGACGGCGUGUCUCUGUGAGAGUUCCCGUCACUGGACAGCCUCUCCUUCCCUUCCUCUCACUGUCUUCUGAGGCCACUCCCUUCCUGGAGGACUGUGCUAUCCGGUCCACCCCUGGUGUAGCCUCUGUGAUGCUUAAGCCACUAUGUCCCCAGUCCCUUAGAGGCCCCAGCUGAGCACCAUGGAGCAAGAGACGGCAGCUGUCCCGGAAAAGGAGCCAUCUGCCCAUGCCAGGGUGGAGACAGUAGACCUGGGGUGGCUUUGAGGUAUUUUGAAGUCUUCCUUAGCGUGGCAGGGAGAGAACAGGACCCCAGGGGGCCUCUCUAACUGCACAGCAGGCGAGGCGCCACUAUGGAAUGACAAGACCAGCUCUUGAGUGAUGCCAGAUGCCUAUAGGGGCUUUUGGGGUCCUAAAGUGAGUGAGGGGCUCUGCAAGAGGUUGACAGUGGAAGCAGGGGUACAGUGGCCAGCGUUGGGGACAUGUAGGUCAUUUCUGUUGGUGGGGCCCCAGCCACACCUGCAAGCAGAGACAGGAUGGCUUGAGAAUUUCAACUGACAUCUGAUUUGCAUGAAUUGGUCUCUCCGGCAGGUGGUCCUGGGUCUCUGAUGUCACCGCUAAUGAACAAGCGCUGUGAGGGACACGAUUGCAGUUCUGGGGUACCGGGUGUUUCCUCCUGGGGGCUGAUUCCUUUCCAUCAACUCGCAGCCACUGUUUGGGGUCUCACUGAGAAGCCCAGCCUUGCUGGCUGGGAGUGGACCGUAACCCACAGCAGAUUUCUGCCCCAGUGCAGAGCUGGUGUGUGCAUUUUCUGUAGAUUCACCAUCCUGGCUUUUAUAUUACAGACAAGGAGACCGAGCUGCAGGGAAGGGAAGUGGUUUGUGCUUUACCACUCCAGAGCGGGAACCCAGGUCCGUUCUCCCUCUGUUCAGGCUUCUCCAAUCCUUUGUGAGGUUCUUUGGUUUACAAAUGAAAAAGAAAGGGCAUAAAAACAAAUGAUACCCAAACUUGGUUGAGUCGAGAGUUUUACCCUUCCGCCCUCUCCCCUUCCUCCUGUAAAGGAAACUGAGUUUUCACAAAAUAGUGAAUGGAUCUGAGCUGUUUGCCUCCUCACCCUCUAGGGGUAGCCUCUCCCUCUUUCCUGGAGGAACUGGAGAGGGCAGUCUGCAGGGGGAGUGCACAGGAAGUGUUUGGUGAACAUGCAGGCACAGCGGUGCCGGUUACCACCCUGGGGGCACCGAGAUCCUUCCCUGCCCACCCCGCGGUUUCCCAGAAGCCCCUGUCCUCGUCUCCAGCCCAUCCCCCUGUCCCGGCUCCCUGCCUGAUUUCUGCAGCUGGGCUGAUGAAGCAGCAGUGAUUUUUUUAAGGUCUCCAACCUGACACGUCCUAUUCUGAGUCACCGAGCCGAGGCGUGCCUUCCUCUGGCGUGCCAAGUUUUCUCCACUAGUGUUUUCAAAGGCAGCCUUCUUCCCCUCAUGACAACCAUUCGAAAUCCACUGAUGGGGAGCAGACUCUGGACCGGAGCAUUUCCAGCAUCUGAAAGAUCUCAAGUUUGACCCUAACGGCAAGGGGCGCAGGCACUGAGACGUUCAGCUGCUCUCCCGGGCCUCUCUCCAGGACUCUGAGGUGCAGCUCCAGGACCGUGGCUGUGUUCUUCAGGCCGUCAGCCCCGAGAGGACAGGAAGUGGGGCAGAAACGGAGCAGCGUCUUGGGAUCAGUGGUGCAUGUGACAGCCUCUGAUGGAAGAUGAGGUGUCUAGAGGGGGCAUUUCUUGGGGACUGGCUGCUCUGUCCAUUCCAAAAAUACUUACUGAAUUCUGACUGAGGGCCGGAAACUGGAGAUUAAAAAAGAGUUAAACCAGCUGUAUUCCACGUUCUUCAACCCUCGAUAGGAGGCUGAACAGGAAUGUGGGCAGGUGGCGGAAGAUAAUCAAGACAAGGGCCAAGUGGCUGCAGGGGGACAGGUGCAGACGCUCCUCGAGGAACUUAACUCCUGCUGUCACUCACACUGUGCUUAGUGUGCGCUGCCCUGCGAGUGCACGGGGCACGUCUAGCCCACUCCUUUGCACACUGUAGGGGCCACACUUUCACGGAACUUUUCUUUACGGGGCCUGAUUUAGAGUAAAGCUUAGUGAGUAAUUAGACCUAAAAUAUGUAGUAAGUGCUGGUGACGUAAGAUGAACAAUGUAGAGAAGGCGACAGUGAUGAACACAUCCAGUCCACUCACCUCCACAUCCGAGAGAGUACAGCGUAGGGUAGGAGCGACGCAGGGCUGCUGGAUUCUAUUUGGAUCAAUAGGAAAAGGUGGUUCAAUGAAGAGCUUGAAGCAGUGUGGAACGGGACCCCGUGCAAGAAAUAGUGGAAGACGGGGCAGCAGAAAAGCUGGGGGUGCAGACAGGCCAAUGCCAAAUCAAGGACGUCGAACGUCAUUGGCUAGGUGUCAACGCCUGGAGUAUUCCCCCUUCAGUUAUCUCUGAUCCACACAAGAUGAGAGAAGCAGAAAGUGUCAGGAAGAGGAGGAACGUCAGAGAAAGCACCUAGGUGCCCCACGGAACCCAAGAGAGUCUGCUUUUUUUUUUUUUUUUUUUUUUUGUCUUUUUCCUUUUUGUCGGUAACGGGGAUCGAACUCAUGACUGCCUGCUUGCAAGGCAGGCGCUUAUGCCGCUGAGCUAAAUCCCCAGCCCCAAAAGCGUUACUUUUAAUAACAAAACUUAUGUCAUGGGGCGGGGGUUGAGGUUUUGGCCACAGCGUCAGGUGAAUAUUAGCCCAUAACCCUUGACCAUUUGACAUUUGGCCAGUAUGCAUUUGGAGAACACCUAUUUCCGUCCAUCCAUCUGUACAUCCAUUCAUCCAUCCACUCAUCUAAAAUAAAAUCUCACCAUAACCCUU